GCUGUUACAGAUGAGUGCGUCUGAGUCUUGCCUGGUUUCAUGGAGGAAGUAUGGGGGAGGAAGCUUUGUCAUCAUUUGUCAUUCACCAUUGUCAUCAACAAGAUCCACAGUAAACAUUAAUUGCACAUCCCUUCCUCAUUAAGUUUACACUUAUAUUGGGGAGGCAGAACAAACAAAGAGUUGAGGGACUAGUUAGUACAAGAGACAUGUGCCAAUAGCACAAAGCUAGGAAAGGGUUGGAGAGGAGAGAAAGCUUGGAGAAGGUCAUUCUGGAGCUGACCCUUGAAGGAAGGUUUGCAUUAAUAGAGGAAAAGGUGAAUGGGGCUAUAAAUAGCAUCAACAAGGCACAUAAGGUGGUAGUGAGCAGGUUGAAUAUAAGUGAGAAAACCUGCUGGACUGGAGCAAAAGGUGUGUGGUAGGGUAGCGUGGGCAAUUAAAGUUUGAGAGAGAAGCAGGGUGAUUACAGAAAGCCUUGGAUAGCAGAAGAAAGGAGUUAUUUUGGAACAAAGUAGAAAGGCAUUGUAGAUUUGCAUAUUUGGGGACUAGUAAAGGCCUGGGGAAGAAAAACUAGAACACUAGGGUUCUAUAUUCUUCCUAAACCUCGUUCUCCGGUGUUAAGGAGAUUAAUCUACUCCAUCCUAGCAAAGUGGAAUGAGUUAGUCACCUUGCCUGAGAUCCAUCUUGCAAGCAGGUUGCUCAGGAUCCCCAAGAUGAUCUGUAUUGGAUGCCCCUGGUAGAGAACCUCUUUCCAGUUAGAAUGUUUCAGGUAAUCAGUACUUGGACUGAAGUUCUCUAUACUGUGGACCUCUGGUGUGAAACGGGAAGGAGGAAGUAUCACCCUCUUAGCCCAGCUGCUACCACAGGUGCAGACCAAGAUGGAGAAUCUGCUUCAGAAAGCAACAACCCUUAGAUGCUGAGUCUGUCCCCAAAUCAGCCCUGAGGAAAGGAG
rnacentral:lncRNA from 1 species